UUCCUACGGGACGCAGCAGUAGGGAAUAUUGCACAAUGGGGGAAACCCUGAUGCAACGACGCCGCGUGAAGGAUGAAGUAUUUCGGUAUGUAAACUUCUAUCAGCAAGGAAGAAAAUGACGGUACUUGACUAAGAAGCCCCGGCUAACUACGUGCCAGCAGCCGCGGUAAUACGUAGGGGGCAAGCGUUAUCCGGAUUUACUGGGUGUAAAGGGAGCGUAGACGGCCAGACAAGUCUGAAGUGAAAAUCCAGCGCUUAACGUUGGAAGUGCUUUGGAAACUGCCGGGCUAGAGUGCAGGAGGGGC
rnacentral:rRNA from 1 species